UCAAUCCAGCUAGACAGGUGCCCUAGUUGAAGCAAAGGGAAAGUGGUACUGCCACGUUAUGAGAAGAUAGAAAGAAUUCUGUUAACUGGACUUUUGCAUCUUCCCUUUCCACAAUGACUAAAGCCAGGGUGAAGUUAACAAUCCUGGUGAACAGCUGUUGUGGUGGGAGAUGUGUUGAAGAAGCUGUCAGACAGACUGAAAAAGGGAGGAAAGAAGCAAACUGUUUUCUCUUUAUUGUAUUUCCAAGGGUGGUACUAGCAGACUAGGUCCAAUGGAGCAGAACCAUAUGUCUUCAAUUCUUACCCUCUCCAAAGGUUCUAUUAGCUGCCUAGUCUAAACAUACUCGAUACAUGUCUAGAACUGUACUGAAUAAACUAUGCCUGUUUUUUAUGAGUGCUUGUAAAUAUAACUCACAGAAGCCAUCUCGGCACCUAACAUGGAAAUGUCUUGUGUCAGCAAAUCCCUCUGCAUGACUUCUUUCAGUGUAACAUAAUUGCAAUGGAUGGAUCCAUUUUUCAUGAUCAAAAGAAACUCCAAUUAAAGAAUUUCUUCAGGUUGCAUAGAUAAUGGAUUACAAGAGAGUGUGCCUAAGGUAUAUUAUCCAUUAUGAUAAGACAGGAUUCUCAGGAAUUAACUGGCUUGAUUGCUAAAACACAGUCCUUCUGAGAGUAUUCUAUUACUUCUAUAUUAAAACUUGAGGCAGAAAUAGUCCACAAGAUGCAUGCUCAUCUAGAAGGACCAAUAUUUUAAUAUCCCUUGAGGAGAUGCUGGAACUCAAAUGCUGAAAGAACAUUACUAUUAAGACUGAUUUGAUGAAAAUGAGCAUUGUACAUAUGACCUACCCAAAGAAGCAUGAAGUCUUUAUGCAAAGGCGAAAUGAUAAAUCUUCAUUUGUGAAUAUACUGAACUUUUUCCUGCUGCAUAGCUUUGGAAAUAUGGAAAUACGAGCUCUUUUUCCCCAUAUCUGGACCCAAAUGCUGAACAUCUUGAGUACCUUUUUCCUAUCUUUUGCCUGUCUGCAAACAUCAUAAUUUGUUUCACUCAUCUCCAAGAAUGGUCCACAGAUUCUGUCCCAAAUUAUCUUUAAAAAAAAACAACAAAAAACAGUGUUUAUUUGAAAAAUCAAAAGGAAAACAAAGAGUAACUUCAUCUCUGUAUUCAAAGUUGCAUCAUUUUAACUAUCCAUUUUUAAAACAAUGUAAAGAGUUACACCGGUGAAAAAUCCUAUGUAAUUUUUAAAUUAGUUUAAAAUUUGUCUCCAUUAUUUACAUUGCCAUGAGCUCACCAGGCCCAAAUCCCUCUCCUGGCUCCCAGAAAACUUCCCAUGUUUAAGGCCUUGGUCCUACUUUUCAAAGCAAUUAAUGACUCAAGCCCUAGUUACAUUAAAGACCAAAUAUUGGUACUAAUUAGACUUUAGCCUUUCAGUCUAUGAACCACCAUAACAAUUGUGCUCCACUAGGACAAAGCAGAUGACAAAGCCCAGGACAUAGCACACAAUUGCUGUGGAUAAAGCAUAGAUAAAGAGAGGAUCCAGCUAAGAAACAAACUUCCAGAGUCAGAUAAAUUCUGAUAGGCUUUAGAAAACGGUGUGCCAAAAUUCUGCCCAAUGUACUGCUACUACCACCAAUAAAAUCUAGAAGAAUCCAAAAUGCAGACUUUACCCCAAGCAGAAAUUUUUACUCUCACGAAGAAGAGCCAGAGAUUCCAUGAAGUACCCUGUGGAAUUUGCUAUUACUAUUUCUUUUACUUGGAAGGUGCUCAGAUACUACAGUACUGGGAGGCAUUAUACAACUCUAAGGGUAUUUCUACGCAAAGAAAAAUGUGCUGCACCAAGUCUCAGAGGCUGGGUCAGCUGACUCAGGCUCAGGGGGCUUUGACUACAGGGCUAAAAUGCAGUGUAGAAGUUCCUGCUUGGGUUGGAGUCCAGUUUUCGUGACACUCGCUAAUUGGUGGGUUUCAGAGCCUGGACUCCUGCCCAGGUGGGAACAUCUACACUAUUAUGUUUAGCCCCAUGAGCCCCAAACUGUAGACCUGAGCUCUGAGAAUUGGUACCACUGGUUUUUCUUUGCUGUGCAGACAUACCCAUCAAUCGGUAAGGAAAGAUAGACAUUCUUAAUUCAAUUUAAACCUGGUUUAUAUUCAUUUAGAUUAAUUAAAUAAGGAAUCUAGAUCAACUAAAUCAAAUUAAGAAUGUUUACACAGUUUUGCACCUGUAACUAAACCAGUUUAAAAUAACACCUUUGUUAAACCAUUACAACUUUGAAUAUAGACAU